UUGAAACGUGGGGAUUUUGGUUGUUUGGUGCUGCAGACCAGAUGCUGCGGAUUGUCUCACGUUGUGAGCCCAGAUUUUGGGCUGAAAUGGGUCGAUUUUGGGCUGAAAUGCAGGAAAUUUGGUUCUUUUUCGCCCCAUAUCAGAUCCUCAGAGUUUCCUCGCGUUUUGAGCUCGAAUUUUGGGCAGAAACGUGGGGAUUUUGGUUCUUUGGUGCUGCAAACCAGAUGCUUUGGGUUUCCUUUUGUUGUGAGCCCAGAUUUUGGGCUGAAAUGGGUCAAUUUUGGUUGUUUGGUGCUGCAGACCAGACGCUUUGGGUUUUCUCACCUUCUGAGCCCAGAUUUUGGGUUGAAACGUGGGGAUUUUGGUUCUUUGGUGCUGCAAACCAGACGCUUUGGAUUUCCUCGCGUUGUGAGCCCAGAUUUUGGGUUGAAAUGGGUCGAUUUUGGGCUGAAAUGCAGGAAAUUUGGUUCUUUUUCGCCCCAUAUCAGAUCCUCAGAGUUUCCUCGCGUUUUGAGCUCGAAUUUUGGGCAGAAACGUGGGGAUUUUGGUUCUUUGGUGCUGCAAACCAGAUGCUUUGGGUUUCCUUGCGUUGGGAGCCCAAAUUUUGGGCUGAAAUGGGUCGAUUUUGGGCUUAAAUGCAGGAAAUUUGGUUCUUUUUCGCCCCAUAUCAGAUCCUCAGGGUUUCCUCGCAUUGUGAGCCCAAAUUUUGGGCUGAAAUGGGUCGAUUUUGGGCUGAAAUGCAGGAAAUUUGGUUAUUUUUCCCCCCAUAUCAGAUCCUCAGGGUUUCCUCGCGUUCUGAGCCCAGAUUUUGGGCUGAAAUGGGUCGAUUUUGGGCUGAAAUGCCAGAAAUUUCAUUACCUGGUGCUGCAGACCAGACGCUUUGGGUUUUCUCACCUUCUGAGCCCAGAUUUUGGGUUGAAACGUGGGGAUUUGGGUUGUUUGGUGCUGCAGACCAGACGCUGCGGGUUUCCUCGCGUUGUGAGCCCAGAUUUUGGGCUGAAAUGGGUCGAAUUUGAGCUGAAAUGCAGGAAAUUUGGUUCUUUUUCCCCCCAUAUCAGACGCUUUGGGUUUCCUCGUGUUGGGAGCCCAAAUUUUGGGCUGAAAUGUGGGGAUUUGGGUUGUUUGGUGCUGCAGACCAGACGCUUUGGGUUUUCUCACCUUCUGAGCCCAGAUUUUGGGCUGAAAUGGGUCGAUUUUGGGCUGAAAUGCAGGAAAUUUGGUCCUUUUCCCCCCCAUAUCAGAUCCUCAGGGUUUCAUCGCGUUGUGAGCCCAGAUUUUGGGCUGAAAUGUCGGGAUUUGGGUUGUUUGGUGCUGCAGACCAGACGCUUUGGGUUUUCUCACCUUCUGAGCCCGAAUUUUGGGUUGAAACGCGGGGAUUUGGGUUGUUUGGUGCUGCAGACCAGACGCUGCGUGUCUACUCGUGCCGGGGGUCGGGGCUGCGGGCGCUGCGCUGCUGGCGGGGUCGCGACGUGGGCUGGGCCAUCCUCGACGUCCUCUUCAGUCCCGACGCAUCGCAGUGCCUCUAUUCCUCCUGGUCUGACUACGGUGGGUGGGCGGGGCUUCCGGGAGU
ensembl:lncRNA